rnacentral:rRNA from 1 species
AACGAACGCUGGCGGCAGGCUUAACACAUGCAAGUCGAACGAGAUCUUCGGAUCUAGUGGCAGACGGGUGAGGAACACGUGGGAACAUCCCUUUCAGUUCGGAAUAACGUUGGGAAACUAACGCUAAUACCGGAUACGUCCUUCGGGAGAAAGAUUUAUCGCUGAAAGAUUGGCCCGCGUCUGAUUAGCUAGUUGGUGAGGUAACGGCUCACCAAGGCUACGAUCAGUAGCUGAUCUGAGAGGAUGAUCAGCCACAUUGGGACUGAGACACGGCCCAAACUCCUACGGGAGGCAGCAGUGGGGAAUGUUGGACAAUGGGCUCAAGCCUGAUCCAGCCAUGCCGCGUGAGUGAUGACGGCCUUCGGGUUGUAAAGCUCUUUUGUCCGGGAAGAUAAUGACUGUACCGGAAGAAUAAGCCCCGGCAAACUUCGUGCCAGCCGCCGCCGUAA